rnacentral:rRNA from 1 species
GACGAACCGUGCGAACGUUGUUCGGAAUCACUGGGCUUAAAGGGCGCGUAGGCGGUUGGUCAAGUCAGGGGUGAAAUCUUUCGGCUCAACCGGAAAACUGCCUUUGAUACUGACUGGCUGGAGGGAGAUAGGGGUUGCGGGAACUACCAGUGGAGCGGUGAAAUGCGUUGAUAUUGGUAGGAACGCCGGUGGCGAAAGCGCGCAACUGGAUCUCUUCUGACGCUGAGUGCGCGAAAAGCUAGGGGAGCAAACGGGG